AGAGUUUGAUCCUGGCUCAGGAUGAACGCUGGCGGCGUGCCUAAUACAUGCAAGUCGAGCGAAUGGAUUAAGAGCUUGCUCUUAUGAAGUUAGCGGCGGACGGGUGAGUAACACGUGGGUAACCUGCCCAUAAGACUGGGAUAACUCCGGGAAACCGGGGCUAAUACCGGAUAACAUUUUGAACCGCAUGGUUCGAAAUUGAAAGGCGGCUUCGGCUGUCACUUAUGGAUGGACCCGCGUCGCAUUAGCUAGUUGGUGAGGUAACGGCUCACCAAGGCAACGAUGCGUAGCCGACCUGAGAGGGUGAUCGGCCACACUGGGACUGAGACACGGCCCAGACUCCUACGGGAGGCAGCAGUAGGGAAUCUUCCGCAAUGGACGAAAGUCUGACGGAGCAACGCCGCGUGAGUGAUGAAGGCUUUCGGGUCGUAAAACUCUGUUGUUAGGGAAGAACAAGUGCUAGUUGAAUAAGCUGGCACCUUGACGGUACCUAACCAGAAAGCCACGGCUAACUACGUGCCAGCAGCCGCGGUAAUACGUAGGUGGCAAGCGUUAUCCGGAAUUAUUGGGCGUAAAGCGCGCGCAGGUGGUUUCUUAAGUCUGAUGUGAAAGCCCACGGCUCAACCGUGGAGGGUCAUUGGAAACUGGGAGACUUGAGUGCAGAAGAGGAAAGUGGAAUUCCAUGUGUAGCGGUGAAACGCGUAGAGAUAUGGAGGAACACCAGUGGCGAAGGCGACUUUCUGGUCUGUAACUGACACUGAGGCGCGAAAGCGUGGGGGAGCAAACAGGAUUAGAUACCCUGGUAGUCCACGCCGUAAACGAUGAGUGCUAAGUGUUAGAGGGUUUCCGCCCUUUAGUGCUGAAGUUAACGCAUUAAGCACUCCGCCUGGGGAGUACGGCCGCAAGGCUGAAACUCAAAGGAAUUGACGGGGGCCCGCACAAGCGGUGGAGCAUGUUGGUUUAAUUCGAAGCAACGCGAAGAACCUUA
rnacentral:rRNA from 1 species